ACAAAAUUCAAGGGGGGGAGUGCCUCGCAUGGGCCUUGAGUCCAGUUCGCACUCUUGCCAUUUGAACAUCGUUCAAUAAAGCUGUUAAAAUAAAAAAAUGAAAAAUAAAAAUGAAUAAAAUAAGGAAUGAUUUCUCAGCCCAGGCAUAUAUAGCACAUGUUGAUUGACUGAAGCACAUGUUGAUUUAUACUGCCGUGCUUUACAUGAGCCGUACCAAAUGCGUAAAUUAUGAUAAUGAAAUAUUUUAUUAUUUCUAUUGUUUUCGUGCCCGCGCGCGGGAAAAUUAGCACCACGCAUUACACGCGUUUCCAAAUUUUGACAACAUGGCUGCUUCUGUCGGAUGUAAAAGAGAAACAAAGUAUGAAUGUGAUGCUUGUAAUGUUACUGGAGUAACAUCACAAGCGUGUAACGAGUAAUAUCACA